UACGUAGGGGGCAAGCGUUAUCCGGAAUUACUGGGUGUAAAGGGAACGCAGGCGGUCUUUUAAGUCUGAUGUGAAAGCCUUCGGCUUAACCGGAGUAGUGCAUUGGAAACUGGGAGACUUGAGUGCAGAAGAGGAGAGUGGAACUCCAUGUGUAGCGGUGAAAUGCGUAGAUAUAUGGAAGAACACCAGUGGCGAAAGCGGCUCUCUGGUCUGUAACUGACGCUGAGGUUCGAAAGCGUGGGUAGCAAACAGG
rnacentral:rRNA from 1 species